GUCCUACGGGACGCAGCAGUGGGGAAUAUUGCACAAUGGGGGAAACCCUGAUGCAGCAACGCCGCGUGAGUGAAGAAGUAUUUCGGUAUGUAAAGCUCUAUCAGCAGGGAAGAAAAUGACAGUACCUGACUAAGAAGCCCCGGCUAACUACGUGCCAGCAGCCGCGGUAAUACGUAGGUGGCAAGCGUUGUCCGGAAUUACUGGGUGUAAAGGGAGCGCAGGCGGGAAGCCAAGUCAGCUGUGAAAACUACGGGCUUAACUUGUAGACUGCAGUUGAAACUGGUUUUCUUGAGUGACGUAGAGGU
rnacentral:rRNA from 1 species